CCGAUUCGAGCGCAGCGAGAAAGCGUUGCCGCAGGCAACGACCCGAAGGGCGAAGCGCGCAGCGCUGAGUCAUCCUUCCCCCACCACCA
rnacentral:sRNA from 1 species